rnacentral:rRNA from 1 species
GAUGAACGCUGGCGGCGUGCCUAAUACAUGCAAGUCGAGCGAAUGGAUUAAGAGCUCGCUCUUAUGAAGUUAGCGGCGGACGGGUGAGUAACACGUGGGUAACCUGCCCAUAAGACUGGGAUAACUCCGGGAAACCGGAGCUAAUACCGGAUAACAUGUUGAACCGCAGGGUUCGAAAUUGAAAGGCGGCUGCGGCUGUCACUUAUGGAUGGAUCAGCGUCGCAUUAGCUAGUUGGUGAGGUAACGGCUCACCAAGGCAACGAUGCGUAGCCGACCUGAGAGGGUGAUCGGCCACACUGGGACUGAGACACGGCCCAGACUCCUACGGGAGGCAGCAGUAGGGAAUCUUCCGCAAUGGACGAAAGUCUGACGGAGCAACGCCGCGUGAGUGAUGAAGGCUUUCGGGUCGUAAAACUCUGUUGUUAGGGAAGAACAAGUGCUAGUUGAAUAAGCUGGCACCUUGACGGUACCUAACCAGAAUGCCACGGCUAACUACGUGCCAGCCGCCGCGGUAA